GUAGUAACCAAAUUUGUCCGGGCGUUCGUACUUUUAGUUUCGUAAUGCUUUUCUACGUCGAAAUGUCAAUGUUCUUGGACCCGAUUGCAGGCCCGGUAUUUUGGGCCCAAUUUUGGGCCCGCUACUGUUAUUAAUUAAGAGGCUGCCACCUCUUGUUUUGUUUCAAAAACGUUGCAAAGUUUCAUUGGAGGAGAAGGGAGGUGGCAGCCCCUUUUCUUCAUUUAAAUGGACAAGCAAGUGGAGAAAUGGAGGGGGAUGGUUUUUGGGACGGAAAAUCUCUCCACCCCAAGUCCCAAUCCAAAAUAAAGAAGAAAAGAAAAUUAUUACAACAAGUUACAAACACGAGCUAAACCUAAGUAUAACCGAUUCUACCGUCAUUCACUUUGUCGUCAUUCGCAAGGGACUACCACCUGAAACACGACAAAAUAAAGAAGCUUCGAUUCAAAGGUAAUCAUCCAAACAUUCCUAUUCAAAAGCAUUCAUGCAAUAUUCAUACAUACAUUUGGUGGCACUUAUACUCUCCUAAACAUCAUCCUCGAAUAUUCAUUAUGACUAAUCAAGGAAACGUUUCAUGUUGGUAAGCGUCCUAGCAAACCCUAAAAUAAGAUUCAAACUUAACAAGUUGCUGAAAUUUUAUCAAGGAUGACACUAAAUGAUAACAUUUCAAAAAAAUGAGUAAUUUUUAAAAAAGUUCAGAUUUCUAAAACUCAUCAUAACAACAAAAUAGUCCAGAUUUUAGUUCAAGCAACCUAAUCAAACAAAACUAUCAUCAUCAACUAAGUAAAAUCAGAAUGAGUGAAGGGUUUAACCUUUUACCUUUCUCGUCCUUUGCUCCAGCGAGUCCGUCUUCGAAGGGAACUUUUUCUACCUUCCUCCGUAUCUCCUUUCGUUGUGCGUUGUGGGAGGAGAGAGGAGGCGGAGGCGGCGGCGCCCGUCGCCGUCGGCGAGACCAGAAAAAAUAGGGGGAGGAGAGGCAAAAAAAGAAGAAAAAGGGUAAAAAAAAGUAGCGGCGGCGGUCGUGGUGGCGGCGGCGGUGGUAGAGAAGAAAGAGAGAAGAGAGGAGAAGGGUUAGAGAGAAGGGAGAGGGUUUCAGAGAGAAGUCAGAGAGAUUUGAGAGGAGAGGAGGAGAGGAGAGAGAGUGAGGGCUGU
rnacentral:lncRNA from 1 species